rnacentral:rRNA from 1 species
UACGUAGGGUGCGAGCGUUAAUCGGAAUUACUGGGCGUAAAGCGCACGCAGGCGGUCUGUUAAGUCAGAUGUGAAAUCCCCGGGCUCAACCUGGGAAUGGCAGUGGAUACUGGCAAGCUAGAGUGCGGUAGAGGGUAGUGGAAUUCCCGGUGUAGCAGUGAAAUGCGUAGAGAUCGGGAGGAACACCAGUGGCGAAGGCGGCUACCUGGACCAGCACUGACACUGAAGCACGAAAGCGUGGGGAGCAAACAGG